UUGUGGUUAAAAAGCUCGUAGUUGGAUCUCAACAGCCUUGAAGCGGUUAACUUUGUAGUUUUACUGCUUUAUAGGCUGUGCUUUUGCUGGAGGUUUAGGGGUGCUCUUGAUCGAGUGUCUCUGGAUGCCAGCAGGUUUACUUUGAAAAAAUUAGAGUGCUCAAAGCAGGCUAAAAUGCCUGAAUAUUCGUGCAUGGAAUAAUAGAAUAGGAUGUCGAUCCUAUUUUGUUGGUUUUCGGGACUCGACAUAAUGAUAAAUAGGGACAGUCGGGGGCAUUUGUAUUCAAACGACAGAGGUGAAAUUCUUGGACCGUUUGAAGACAAACUACUGCGAAAGCAUUUGCCAAGAAUGUUUUCAUUAAUCAAGAACGAAAGUUAGAGGUUCGAAGGCGAUUAGAUACCGCCCUAGUUCUAACCAUAAACGAUGCCAGCUAGCGAUCUGCCUGCGUUUUUACUGUAGACUGGGCAGGAAGCUUCCGGGAAACCAAAGCAUUUGGGUUCCAGGGGAAGUAUGGUUGCAAAGCUGAAACUUAAAGGAAUUGACGGAAGGGCACCACCAGGAAUGGA
rnacentral:rRNA from 1 species